CCCUCGGGGGAAAGGAGAAGG
rnacentral:misc_RNA from 1 species